rnacentral:rRNA from 1 species
UACGGAGGGGACUAGCGUUGUUCGGAAUUACUGGGCGUAAAGCGCACGUAGGCGGAUUUGUAAGUCAGGGGUGAAAUCCCGGGGCUCAACCUCGGAACUGCCUUUGAUACUGCAAAUCUCGAGUCCGGAAGAGGUGAGUGGAAUUCCUAGUGUAGAGGUGAAAUUCGUAGAUAUUAGGAAGAACACCAGUGGCGAAGGCGGCUCUCUGGGACGGUACUGACGC